ACGGAAGGCAGCAGUGGGGAAUAUUGCACAAUGGGGGAAACCCUGAUGCAGCGACGCCGCGUGAGUGAAGAAGUAUUUCGGUAUGUAAAGCUCUAUCAGCAGGAAAGAAAAUGACGGUACCUGACUAAGAAGCCCCGGCUAACUACGUGCCAGCAGCCGCGGUAAUACGUAGGGGGCAAGCGUUAUCCGGAUUUACUGGGUGUAAAGGGAGCGUAGACGGCUUUGCAAGUCUGAAGUGAAAGCCCGGGGCUCAACCCCGGAACUGCUUUGGAAACUGUAGAGCUAGAGUGCAGGAGAGGUAGGUGGAAUUCCUAGUGUAGCGGUGAAAUGCGUAGAUAUUAGGAGGAACACCAGUGGCGAAGGCGGCUUACUGGACUGUAACUGACGUUGAGGCUCGAAGGCGUGGGGAGCAAACAGGAUUAGAUACCCUGGUA
rnacentral:rRNA from 1 species